rnacentral:rRNA from 1 species
UUUGGUUAAGUUAGAAAGGGCGCACGGUGGAUGCCUUGACACUAGGAGUCGAUGAAGGACGGGACUAACGCCGAUAUGCUUCGGGGAGCUGUAAGUAAGCUUUGAUCCGAAGAUUUCCGAAUGGGGAAACCCACCAUACGUAAUGGUAUGGUAUCCUUAUCUGAAUACAUAGGGUAAGGAAGACAGACCCAGGGAACUGAAACAUCUAAGUACCUGGAGGAAGAGAAAGCAAAUGCGAUUUCCUGAGUAGCGGCGAGCGAAACGGAACAUAGCCCAAACCAAGAGGCUUGCCUCUUGGGGUUGUAGGACAUUCUAUACGGAGUUACAAAGGAACGAGGUAGACGAAGCGACCUGGAAAGGUCCGUCGUAGAGGGUAACAACCCCGUAGUCGAAACUUCGUUCUCUCUUGAAUGUAUCCUGAGUACGGCGGAACACGUGAAAUUCCGUCGGAAUCUGGGAGGACCAUCUCCCAAGGCUAAAUACUCCCUAGUGAUCGAUAGUGAACCAGUACCGUGAGGGAAAGGUGAAAAGCACCCCGGAAGGGGAGUGAAAGAGAUCCUGAAACCGUGUGCCUACAAAUAGUCAGAGCCCGUUAAUGGGUGAUGGCGUGCCUUUUGUAGAAUGAACCGGCGAGUUACGAUCCCGUGCGAGGUUAAGCUGAAGAGGCGGAGCCGCAGCGAAAGCGAGUCUGAAUAGGGCGUUUAGUACGUGGUCGUAGACCCGAAACCAGGUGAUCUACCCAUGUCCAGGGUGAAGUUCAGGUAACACUGAAUGGAGGCCCGAACCCACGCACGUUGAAAAGUGCGGGGAUGAGGUGUGGGUAGCGGAGAAAUUCCAAUCGAACCUGGAGAUAGCUGGUUCUCCCCGAAAUAGCUUUAGGGCUAGCCUUAAGUGUAAGAGUCUUGGAGGUAGAGCACUGAUUGGACUAGGGGUCCUCAUCGGAUUACCGAAUUCAGUCAAACUCCGAAUGCCAAUGACUUAUCCUUAGGAGUCAGACUGCGAGUGAUAAGAUCCGUAGUCAAAAGGGAAACAGCCCAGACCGCCAGCUAAGGUCCCAAAGUGUGUAUUAAGUGGAAAAGGAUGUGGAGUUGCUUAGACAACUAGGAUGUUGGCUUAGAAGCAGCCACCAUUUAAAGAGUGCGUAAUAGCUCACUAGUCGAGUGACUCUGCGCCGAAAAUGUACCGGGGCUAAAUACACCACCGAAGCUGCGGAUUGAUACCAAUGGUAUCAGUGGUAGGGGAGCGUUCUAAGGACAGUGAAGUCAGACCGUAAGGACUGGUGGAGUGCUUAGAAGUGAGAAUGCCGGUAUGAGUAGCGAAAGACGGGUGAGAAUCCCGUCCACCGAAUGCCUAAGGUUUCCUGAGGAAGGCUCGUCCGCUCAGGGUUAGUCAGGACCUAAGCCGAGGCCGACAGGCGUAGGCGAUGGACAACAGGUUGAUAUUCCUGUACCACCUCUUUAUCGUUUGAGCAAUGGAGGGACGCAGAAGGAUAGAAGAAGCGUGCGAUUGGUUGUGCACGUCCAAGCAGUUAGGCUGAUAAGUAGGCAAAUCCGCUUAUCGUGAAGGCUGAGCUGUGAUGGGGAAGCUCCUUAUGGAGCGAAGUCUUUGAUUCCCCGCUGCCAAGAAAAGCUUCUAGCGAGAUAAAAGGUGCCUGUACCGCAAACCGACACAGGUAGGCGAGGAGAGAAUCCUAAGGUGUGCGAGAGAACUCUGGUUAAGGAACUCGGCAAAAUGACCCCGUAACUUCGGGAGAAGGGGUGCUUUCUUAACGGAAAGCCGCAGUGAAUAGGCCCAAGCGACUGUUUAGCAAAAACACAGCUCUCUGCGAAGCCGUAAGGCGAAGUAUAGGGGGUGACACCUGCCCGGUGCUGGAAGGUUAAGGAGAGGGGUUAGCGUAAGCGAAGCUCUGAACUGAAGCCCCAGUAAACGGCGGCCGUAACUAUAACGGUCCUAAGGUAGCGAAAUUCCUUGUCGGGUAAGUUCCGACCCGCACGAAAGGUGUAACGAUUUGGGCACUGUCUCAACCAGAGACUCGGUGAAAUUAUAGUACCUGUGAAGAUGCAGGUUACCCGCGACAGGACGGAAAGACCCCGUGGAGCUUUACUGUAGCCUGAUAUUGAAUUUUGGUACAUUUUGUACAGGAUAGGCGGGAGCCUUUGAAACCGGAGCGCUAGCUUCGGUGGAGGCGCUGGUGGGAUACCGCCCUGAAUGUAUUGAAAUUCUAACCUACGGGUCUUAUCGACCCGGGAGACAGUGUCAGGUGGGCAGUUUGACUGGGGCGGUCGCCUCCUAAAGUGUAACGGAGGCGCCCAAAGGUUCCCUCAGAAUGGUUGGAAAUCAUUCGUAGAGUGCAAAGGCAUAAGGGAGCUUGACUGCGAGACCUACAAGUCGAGCAGGGACGAAAGUCGGGCUUAGUGAUCCGGUGGUUCCGCAUGGAAGGGCCAUCGCUCAACGGAUAAAAGCUACCCCGGGGAUAACAGGCUUAUCUCCCCCAAGAGUCCACAUCGACGGGGAGGUUUGGCACCUCGAUGUCGGCUCAUCGCAUCCUGGGGCUGUAGUCGGUCCCAAGGGUUGGGCUGUUCGCCCAUUAAAGCGGUACGCGAGCUGGGUUCAGAACGUCGUGAGACAGUUCGGUCCCUAUCCGUCGUGGGCGUAGGAAAUUUGAGAGGAGCUGUCCUUAGUACGAGAGGACCGGGAUGGACGCACCGCUGGUGUACCAGUUGUUCUGCCAAGGGCAUAGCUGGGUAGCUAUGUGCGGAAGGGAUAAGUGCUGAAAGCAUCUAAGCAUGAAGCCCCCCUCAAGAUGAGAUUUCCCAUAGCGUAAGCUAGUAAGAUCCCUGAAAGAUGAUCAGGUUGAUAGGUUCGAGGUGGAAGCAUGGUGACAUGUGGAGCUGACGAAUACUAAUAGAUCGAGGACUUAACCAUAUAA